CAAAAUCCUAUGAAGCAAAGGAACUGGGAGGGAGUACUCGCACCACGAGGGGCGCGAGGGAGACUUUCACCUAGGUGUUCCUCCAGCUCCAAGAAUGCACUCGAGCCUAAUCAAACACCUGCCCGCCAGCUCCAAGUCAGGCGCAGACGCCGCCAACCCCUCUCCAGACAGCUGCUGAUUCGAGAGCUCCCACAAAGCCUACAGAGUCUCACAUAGAACCCCCCCAC